GACGAACGCUGGCGGCGUGCCUAAUACAUGCAAGUCGAACGAACUCUGGUAUUGAUUGGUGCUUGCAUCAUGAUUUACAUUUGAGUGAGUGGCGAACUGGUGAGUAACACGUGGGAAACCUGCCCAGAAGCGGGGGAUAACACCUGGAAACAGAUGCUAAUACCGCAUAACAACUUGGACCGCAUGGUCCGAGUUUGAAAGAUGGCUUCGGCUAUCACUUUUGGAUGGUCCCGCGGCGUAUUAGCUAGAUGGUGGGGUAACGGCUCACCAUGGCAAUGAUACGUAGCCGACCUGAGAGGGUAAUCGGCCACAUUGGGACUGAGACACGGCCCAAACUCCUACGGGAGGCAGCAGUAGGGAAUCUUCCACAAUGGACGAAAGUCUGAUGGAGCAACGCCGCGUGAGUGAAGAAGGGUUUCGGCUCGUAAAACUCUGUUGUUAAAGAAGAACAUAUCUGAGAGUAACUGUUCAGGUAUUGACGGUAUUUAACCAGAAAGCCACGGCUAACUACGUGCCAGCAGCCGCGGUAAUACGUAGGUGGCAAGCGUUGUCCGGAUUUAUUGGGCGUAAAGCGAGCGCAGGCGGUUUUUUAAGUCUGAUGUGAAAGCCUUCGGCUCAACCGAAGAAGUGCAUCGGAAACUGGGAAACUUGAGUGCAGAAGAGGACAGUGGAACUCCCAUGUGUAGCGGUGAAAUGCGUAGAUAUAUGGAAGAACACCAGUGGCGAAGGCGGCUGUCUGGUCUGUAACUGACGCUGAGGCUCGAAAGUAUGGGUAGCAAACAGGAUUAGAUACCCUGGUAGUCCAUACCGUAAACGAUGAAUGCUAAGUGUUGGAGGGUUUCCGCCCUUCAGUGCUGCAGCUAACGCAUUAAGCAUUCCGCCUGGGGAGUACGGCCGCAAGGCUGAAACUCAAAGGAAUUGACGGGGGCCCGCACAAGCGGUGGAGCAUGUGGUUUAAUUCGAAGCUACGCGAAGAACCUUACCAGGUCUUGACAUACUAUGCAAAUCUAAGAGAUUAGACGUUCCCUUCGGGGACAUGGAUACAGGUGGUGCAUGGUUGUCGUCAGCUCGUGUCGUGAGAUGUUGGGUUAAGUCCCGCAACGAGCGCAACCCUUAUUAUCAGUUGCCAGCAUUAAGUUGGGCACUCUGGUGAGACUGCCGGUGACAAACCGGAGGAAGGUGGGGAUGACGUCAAAUCAUCAUGCCCCUUAUGACCUGGGCUACACACGUGCUACAAUGGAUGGUACAACGAGUUGCGAACUCGCGAGAGUAAGCUAAUCUCUUAAAGCCAUUCUCAGUUCGGAUUGUAGGCUGCAACUCGCCUACAUGAAGUCGGAAUCGCUAGUAAUCGCGGAUCAGCAUGCCGCGGUGAAUACGUUCCCGGGCCUUGUACACACCGCCCGUCACACCAUGAGAGUUUGUAACGCCCAAAGUCGGUGGGGUAACCUUUUAGGAACCAGCCGCCUAAGGUGGGACAGAUGAUUAGGGUGAAG
rnacentral:rRNA from 1 species